CCUUGCACCACCCAAAAGGUCUCACAUCUUUUCUCACCAUACAAAAUUAGUUUGUAUGUAAAAAAAUUAGAAGCUAACCCUUCUUUUGUCACCCAUUAAGGAUAGGAUUUGGUUGGUUUUGAAUUGGAUUCAAAAUGGUUUGAAUUUCAACCUAAAAUCCUAUCCCUAUCCUUCCACACAUCGGCUUCUUUUGAAGGCCCCCAUUGUGUGCAUGAAAAUGAAGUGUUGCUGAUUAUUUUUUAUGCCCAAAUUUCUAAUGUAAGUUUCUCUUUAAGUUAGAUAAGGGUGAGAAAAAGUUAGAGUCAAAUUAAAAUUCAAAAUAAUUUGAAUUAUGACAAACUCCAGCUCUUAUCCUAUCUUACCUAUUUUGUGUGACAACAAUAAAAAGGCUACAAUUUUGUGUGCCAACUGAUGAGAGCUUUUCAUCAUGAGAUACCACAGGGAAAGAGGGGCCAAAAAAACCUUCUUUGGGGUGUGAGGUUUGGGUGGACUUUUAUCUUCCUUGGCAUGAACAAAGGAGGAGACCGAUCUCCUCUCGAGUGAGAGACCUAGAAUUGUUAUAGGGUUUCUGGGUGAGGAAAAAAUUAAAGAGAAGAGAGUCUUCAUCAAAUUUUUCUCUAUCAUCUAGCAUCUUUCUCUAAUCUAUCUUCGAUAUCAGAAAGGUCUGAGGUGGUCGAAGAAAGAGAUCAAAUCAGAUCUGCCAUCAGA
rnacentral:lncRNA from 1 species